UACAGAGGUCUCAAGCGUUGUUCGGAUUCAUUGGGCGUAAAGGGUGCGUAGGUGGCGGGGUAAGUCAGGUGUGAAAUCUCGGGAGCUCAACUCCGAAACUGCACUUGAUACUGCCUUGCUCGAGUACUGGAGAGGAGAUUGGAAUUUACGGUGUAGCAGUGAAAUGCGUAGAUAUCGUAAGGAAGACCAGUGGCGAAGGCGAAUCUCUGGACAGUUACUGACACUGAGGCACGAAGGCCAGGGGAGCAAACGGG
rnacentral:rRNA from 1 species